rnacentral:rRNA from 1 species
GUGGGGAAUCUUGCGCAAUGGGCGAAAGCCUGACGCAGCCAUGCCGCGUGAAUGAUGAAGGUCUUAGGAUUGUAAAAUUCUUUCACCGGGGACGAUAAUGACGGUACCCGGAGAAGAAGCUCCGGCUAACUUCGUGCCAGCAGCCGCGGUAAUACGAAGGGGGCUAGCGUUGCUCGGAAUUACUGGGCGUAAAGGGCGCGUAGGCGGACAGCUUAGUCAGAGGUGAAAGCCCAGUGCUCAACCUUGGAAUUGCCUUUGAUACUGGCUGUCUUGAGUUUGGGAGAGGUGAGUGGAACUCCGAGUGUAGAGGUGAAAUUCGUAGAUAUUCGGAAGAACACCAGUGGCGAAGGCGACUCACUGGCCCAAUACUGACGCUGAGGCGCGAAAGCGUGGGGAGCAAACAGGAUUAGAUACCCGGGUAGUCC